GUUGGUAAUUAACAAGCAAUCCACCACUCUUGCGCAACGAAUUCAUGGACCCGUUUUUUCCCCAUUCCGCUAUGGGACCUUAAAAUCUGAAAAAUUCAGGCCUACCCAGUUAUUGCUACUCCAGAUUCGACUGUUUUUCAGGAUUCGAAUUUUUCCUGCGGUUCGGGGGAUAUUUUAUUUUAAAGUUUGGGCUUUUAAAUUUUUUUUCCAUUGGUGGUGGGGGGGGGGGGGGUCUUCAUCAUCGCUUUUUGGGAAAAAGCGACCAUUAAAAAAAACUAAUUCUCAAAAAAGCUUGCUUGGUCACCCCUCAAUGCAAAUCCAAAAGGAAAUCGUUUUCCGGAUUGGAUUCACCGAGUUAUUAAAAAUCUAGUAAAGUGCUAAUUUUGCCAGAUUCCCACCCAACCUAGCAGCCAUUUAUUAUCACCUCUCCUUCGUACUCCUGGCGGAUGAAAACCGAAGCUACGCGUUCAUGGCCUUCACUUUAGACCGAGGGACAAGCUAUAGGCCCUCUCGUAUAGUCUAGUGGUCAGUAUUUGGGUCAUUCCGCUGAAACUGAAUUUUUUUCGGCGCUCAAAAUCACCGAUAUUCCUGUGUAUUUAUUUUUGGUGUAUAAAAUACUCUGUAACGGGAUAAUUUUUCCCGUAUACCGAAUAAGAGAUAAAAAAUCCAAAAGUUUUGGUUUUUUAAAUUUAAAAAAAUUGAUUUUAACAAACAAUCUCCCACUCAACCGCACCGAAAUACCCCCUUUUUUACGGAGGUCGUUUUCGGAUUGUAAUCCGGAAAAGGACUCUAAAAAUCCGGACUAAGUCUAUUCUGCUAAAAAUCGCAAGGCAAUUCCAACGGAAUAAAGUCUGGAUUUUUAUCUUGUUUGGUUCCCGAGACAAUCGGGAUUGAAAAUCGUGAAAUAUCACGAAAACCCAAAGUCUCCCCCUCCGACUACAUCGCUUUUAGCCGUAUAUUCGGCUUCUACAAAAAAACGAAUUGAUGAAAAAUGUAGCCCUUUCAUCCCUCUUUCAGAAUCCAAAAGGAUUUCUAAUAAUUUAUUAUGAUGUCUGAGAUAUCACGAUUUUCGUGAUACCCCCAUUUCGACACAUUUUUCAGGCAUUUUAUUCAGCGUUGCCGAUUGCCGUAUAUGUGACUUCGUCCCCACUCCUUCACUUUUUCCAUCGUUUCCUAUGUAUCAAGUCCCAUCUGUAUCGAUAUACAAGGCCUUGAUACAUAGGAAACAGGGAAAAAGCGAAGGAGUGGACAGAAAAGGGGGCGAAAAGUGACCAAUACUACGACUGAGAAUGAAGGAAACAAUCAAUCAAUCAAACAAGCCAUCUUCCGACGAAGACUUUAUUACAGUUCCGGAAAUGAAAGGAAAUAUCCCGGUCCGAUUUCAUUUAAAACUUGUUAUCAGUAAUUCCGUUUUUCUCUACAGAUAUUCCUCUUGCAAAUUCUCAGUUUGAAGUAAUCCAACAACAACUAAAAAUCUCACAAAAGCCGUACAACAAUCUAAUGGAAAUAUUCCGGUGUUGGAAGAAGACCGUACUCGUCAUGCAACUAUCGUGGAAAAAGAGUUUGAUUUUUUACCAAUAAAAGAUCCUGUUUAGCUCUGCAGUUUUGACGUGAUGGUUGAAUAGCUCGUGAGAAACAUACCAUAAGUUUGAUAUUUCACCGGCGUUUGAAAAAUCGAAAACCAUCAACUCUUUUCUACGUAGCAUUUUCUCUCAACUGAUGGUGCCAGAGGUGGGCAAUAUUGUUCAGUGGAAGACAAGACGAGUUGCUAAUGAACUCAUAACUGGGUUGAAGUGUAUGCCCAUUAUUCUAGCUAUUAUACUCGUAACUGCCAAUCUCUAGUCAAAGGCCACAACAUCCCGAAACAAGACGUCCAGGAUUUCAUUGAUCGCUGCAAGAGAAUCAGAAAACAAGACGCAUACACACAUAGAGGCAACACCAAACAGCCUGUUGUGGUAUCCGAAAGAACCAAUGAGCCUCGUCAAUUGAAAGAUGAUAUUCAAGUAUUACUGGGAAAAAAAGUGGCUCAUCUUGAAAAGUUGAUAGAAAAGUAUGACAAGUAAUCGUUUAAACGAAGUUAGUAUAAUUAUUAUCGUACUGUUCUAUCGUUUGAACGAUUACUUUGUAAUUAUUUUCUAUCAGUUUUUCAAGAUAACAUAUUGAUUUGUUUUUUUUUCACACAGAAAAUUUCGAGUUUUGUUUAUAUUUUGUUUUUGUGUUGUGUUAUUCAAUUGAAUUGUUUCCAAAUGUGGCAUCACGCAAUAAAAUGACAGACCAAUUAAAA